UACGGAGGAUCCAAGCGUUAUCCGGAUUUAUUGGGUUUAAAGGGAGCGUAGGCGGCCGUUUAAGUCAGAGGUGAAAACUUGCAGCUCAACUGUAAGCUUGCCUUUGAUACUGAAUGGCUUGAAUGAACUUGAGGUAGGCGGAAUGUGACAAGUAGCGGUGAAAUGCAUAGAUAUGUCACAGAACACCAAUUGCGAAGGCAGCUUACUAAGGUUUAAUUGACGCUGAGGCUCGAAAGCGUGGGGAUCAAACAGG
rnacentral:rRNA from 1 species